GGGACGACCUUCGGGAGCCUAUACAGGUGUUGCAUGGCUGUCGUCAGCUCGUGUCGUGAGAUGUUCGGUUAAGUCCGCUAACGAGCGCAACCCUCGUCGUAUGUUAUAUGUGUCAUACGAGACUGCCGGUAAAAAGCCGGAGGAAGGUGAGGAUGAUGUCAAGUCAGCAUGACCUUUAUAUCCAGGGCUACACACACGCUACAAUGGUCUGUACAAUGGGUAGCCAAGCCGCGAGGCGGAGCCAAUCCUGAAAGCAGGCCUCAGUUCAGAUUGCAGUCUGCAACUCGACUGCAUGAAGCCGGAGUUGCUAGUAACCGCAGGUCAGCAAUACUGCGGUGAAUACGUUCCCGGGUCUU
rnacentral:rRNA from 1 species